rfam:Myotis davidii contig151787, whole genome shotgun sequence.
GGCGGUUCUUGGGUGGCACACCCCAGAAUCAGGCUUUCUCCUCUCUAGUUCUGAGUGUGUCACUUGAGAACUACA